rnacentral:rRNA from 1 species
GUCGGGAGUUAGGAAAUGCAGGGGUGUUAAUAGCGCUCUUGCUUGACUAAGGCUCCAGAGGAAGCCACGGCUAACUCUGUGCCAGCAGCCGCGGUGAUACAGAGGCGGCAAGCGUUGUUCGGAAUUAUUGGGCGUAAAGAGCACGUAGGCGACCUUGUCAGUCAGUUGUGAAAGCCUUCCGCUCAACGGAAGAAUGCCAGCUGAUACUACAGGGCUUGAGUACGGGAGGGGAGAGUGGAACUUCUGGU